GCUGGUUAAGCAGCUGCCUUCGGCUCAGGUCAUGGUCCCAGGGUCCUGGGAUGAAGCCCCAGGGAUCCAAUACUCCCAGACCAGUUUCGGGAAAUGCUACAUUAAUCUGAAGAGCAGGGGAGAAAGAAAUUUAAAACGAGUGUUUGGCAGGAUGAUGGUGCUGUUAAUAGCACUAGGAAACAGGAGAGACAAGUGUGCAAUGGAAGAUUCAUUCUGAACAGAGUGAGGUUCCUUCACUGUCUGGCAGAGACGAGCACUAUAUAUGAGAGUCAAGCUCAGGAGAAAGAGUACCAAGACAACAUCUAUUUGUAUGAAAAGAAAAGGGCCAGUCAAGGUCCAGGUGACUCCAUUGGUGGACUUUGUUGGCUACCUGCCCAACAUCUGUUUCCCUCCUUCUGGCUGCCUGACAGGACCCUGCUUUGCCUCAUGUAACCAAACAACAGGCUCCAGAAGAAGCUAACCCCAUUUGCAUGCAGCCCAGGAGGAGGUUCUGGUUUGUCUAAUCCAGUCAUGGCAUUCCCCUUGCCAGGUUUUAGGAAUGUACAUCUGAUCCAAUUCUGGCUACUGAGACUGCAUGAUGGAGACUUUUGGGGAAGUUUUCCCAACUCCUGAGAAAUGCACUCAAGAAGAGAGAAUCAUUCUUUUUCUCCUGGACACUUCCAUAUCUGGACAUGACAGCUAUAACAACUUCAACCAUAAUGCAGCCAAUCUGAGGAAGGCAGAGGCAAGCUUUUUGGCAGGAGAGAGCUUGUUUUACUUCACUGAGACAGCUGCUGUCCAUUCCCAGUCUGUGAUAUAAAAGUGACUUGUAAGAAUCAUGUGGAGUUUGGGCAGCCCGGGUGGUUCAGCCGUUUAGCGCCACCUUCAGCCCAGGGCGUGAUCCUGGAGACCCGGGGUCGAGUCCCACGUCGAGCCUGCUUCUCCCUCUGCCUCUGUCUCUCUCUCUCUCU